rnacentral:rRNA from 1 species
GUUCAGAUCGCAGUCUGCAACCCGACUGCGUGAAGUCGGAAUCGCUAGUAAUCGCGGAUCAGCAUGCCGCGGUGAAUACGUUCCCGGGCCUUGUACACACCGCCCGUCACACCAUGAGAGUCGGGAACACCCGAAGUCCGUAGCCUAACCGCGGAGGGGGGCGCGGCCGAAGGUGGGUUCGAUAAUUGGGGUGAAGUCGUAACAAGGUAGC